CGCCUUUUUCUCCUUCCGCACUGUCUGGGUUUCCGCUUCCCUCCCGGGCGCGGGGUGAGGGAGCGGGGCCGCGCCUCGGUCCCGGCCGCCGCCGCCAUGUGGCCCCCAGACCAGGAACCCGACCCGGACCCCGACCCGGCCCCGGCGCGCGCCGGACGCUCCCCGCCGGGCGCGGCGAUGCCCGGGCUCCGCGCCCUCCUGCCGGCGCGCGCCUACCUCUGCUCGCUCAAAGGCCGCCUCCUGCUGGCAGAGUCGGGUCUGUCGUUCAUCACCUUUGUCUGCUAUGUGGCAUCCUCUGCAUCCGCCUUCCUCGCGGCACCCCUGCUGGAGUUCCUGCUGGCGCUCUACUUCCUCUUUGCUGAUGCCAUGCAGCUGAAUGACAAGUGGCAGGGAUUGUGCUGGCCCAUGAUGGACUUCCUGCGCUGCGUCACAGCAGCCCUCAUCUACUUCGCCAUCUCCAUCACAGCUGUUGCCAAGUACUCGGACGGGGCUUCCAAAGCAGCUGGGGUGUUUGGCUUCUUUGCCACCAUCGUGUUUGCAAUUGACUUCUAUCUGAUCUUUAAUGAUGUGGCCAAAUUUCUCAAACAAGGGGACUCCGCAGACGAGAACACAGCUGACAAGGCAGAAGAAGAGAAUUCCGACUCUGACUCUGACUGAAGGCCUACCCUGCCCUGGCAACCCGAGCCUCAUGGGCCUUGACUGCUGCACCUUCUGACCAGGAGAGCCGGGACGUGGUCAGGGGACCGUGUGUGUUGGGAGAGAGGCUGUGACCUCAGCAGCAGUGGGAGUUGCUGAGGGAGCCAGCCUCCUCACAGCCCCAAGUACCUUCUUUAAAUGGCCUUUCCUGUGACCCAAGAGGCCUCAUGAAUGAGCCAGACGUGGACCCAUGUCUUGGGCAUUUGUAACCUUUGUUCUUCUCUUGCAUGUGAAAAAAGCCAUAAUGGAUUAAACCAGACUACCUGCUUGGAGUGUAUGUGUUUGAAAACCCCUCACACUCCCCAGAGCAUGCGGUCCAGGGUCACGCUUCAGCACAGACUGGGCACAUACACGGUGAGUCCCGACAGCGCCAGGCUUCGAUAGCACACGCACAUUUGCUCCACACCAGGCACACCUAAGCAUCGGACGCCUGUGCUCUCAUCUAGUCUUCACACGAUCCUGUUUCACUGUCCAGGAAACUGACAGAAGGUUCAGGAACUUGCCCAAAUCAUCAUGGCCCCUUUGAGGAGGGCCUCUCACUUAUCUAUCAGGAUAACCACCCACGGCACCUCUGAGAUAGCCAGAACCUGGGCCUCUCGUGGUUUGGAAACUGGUCGCACGAGGGACCCCACUUGAAGACUGGGAGAGCGCCGGGUCGGCAUUUGGCCCAGGUAUCCUGCCCCAGCUUUGACACACGUUCUGAAAAUACAUCCGAAAGCUGAUGUGCAGAAACCGAGAGGGGUACACGGUGGGACCUUGCCUGCCCAGCUCAGCCAGCCAGGCUGCCUGUCCACACCCAUACCCCGGCCUGUGCCACGGAGGCGGGCUGUGUUCAGCCACCACCUCACAAGCUUGUUUCGGGAACUAGGUCCGCGGCCUGUGAAGGGACGGGAGGGAAGUCGGAGCGAGGAGACAAUGCCAUUUUUACAUGUCCAUUUAUUAAACAAGAACUCCUUCGUGACAA